rnacentral:rRNA from 1 species
UACGUAGGUGACAAGCGUUGUCCGGAUUUACUGGGCGUAAAGAGCGCGCAGGCGGUCGAUCAAGUCGAGUGUGAAAGCCCCCGGCUCAACUGGGGAGGGUCAUUCGAUACUGAUCGACUCGAAGGCAGGAGAGGGUAGUGGAAUUCCCGGUGUAGUGGUGAAAUGCGUAGAUAUCGGGAGGAACACCAGUGGCGAAGGCGACUACCUGGCCUGUUCUUGACGCUGAGGCACGAAAGUGUGGGGAUCAAACAGG